rnacentral:rRNA from 1 species
UACGGAGGGUGCGAGCGUUGUCCGGAAUCACUGGGCGUAAAGGGCGCGUAGGCGGCGCGGGAAGUCCGUGGUGAAAGCCCGAGGCUCAACUUCGGGUCGGCCAUGGAUACUCCUGGGCUCGAGCACUGUAGAGGCAGGUGGAAUUCCGGGUGUAGCGGUGGAAUGCGUAGAGAUCCGGAAGAACACCGGUGGCGAAGGCGGCUCACUGGCCCGAUACUGACGCUGAGGCACGAAAGCGUGGGGAGCAAACAGG